GCCGUUGCUUCCGGCUCCGGUAACCUAUUCCAGCACGGCGUCCUUUCUUUUUUUUUUUCCUUUCUCCCUCUCCCCCUCUUCUCCCCCUCCCCCUCUCUGGAAAAAAGAAAUAAAAUGGCUUUAAGCUUUUCAAAGUCUGAUUUGGUGCGGGCCUUGUGAGAUGGAGACUGGUAUUUCCGUGGGAAACUUCCUGUCUUCUUUCCAUGGGAAAUUUCCAUCGGUGCUUUAGAUCAUGAAGCAAAAAUGUAGGCGCAAAGAACAAAAGAGGGACAUGUUCAAAAACAUAAAAAAAACGAAAAGCAUUUGGGGGAAAUGAAAAGGAGAUGAUGAGCUGAUUAUUUUGAAGUCGAGGUAAUAGGAAUAAAGGUGCCUCUACAGUAAUGGACAAAAUUCAUAAAGCUUCAUUGUUGCAGCAUACACUUUGCAGUAGAGGAGAAAAAGGAAGACAACCAGAACCAAGGCAGAGGAAGAUGACGUAAAAAGAGGGUAGAUGAUGACGUCUUCAGGCACACCUUAUGACAGUGAAGUGUUCAAAAUUUGCAGGGUACAAAAUCCGCACAGCCUUCUUAGAAAAAAAAAUUUUGGACCUUGUCUGCUGCUUCUUCAAUGUUGGAGGCAGAGGUGACGGGGGACGGAAGGGGGAGGGGGGAAAGAAGAGAAAAAGGAAAGAAAGAAAAAGAAAAAAAAAGGAAAAAAAAAUUUUCAUCUUAAAAAAUUUUUUCAAAAAUUUUUACGAUACACUAAAAUAAAAUUUUAGACAAAUUUCCCAAAAACUCAAAUUCCAAACAGGGCCAUAGUUUCGGUAAUCAAAUCUUGACCCUUGAGCAAUUUUGGUGACCAAAUUUUGGAUGAAAAUAAAUUUUGUACCUUAUGUUAUAAUAUUUAAGCACAUUUAGUAUCUUUGAUUGAAUUUUUCAAGUUUCAACUUAAAAAAAAGGAAAAAUGUCCAAUUUUAUCUCUAAAUUUUUUUGUAGUGUCAAUUUAAUUCAUGUAUAAUUUUUUUAGUCAAUUUAAUUCCUAUACUUAUUUAGCAAUUCCAAUUAAAAAAUGCCGCAGCGGCGCCACCAUACAAAUUUAAUCAUGUUACUAAUUGAGUAACCAAAAAAAAGGGUAUUUCAGGUAGUUCACUGUUGGGAUGUAUAUCAGGCAUGAGGCCCUCUGAAGAACAAAAAAAAAGUGAUAAAAAUCGCUUUUUAUGUGAAGUCCCCAAAACACUCAACUCCAGAACAAGUCCUUUUGGAUCGAAACAGUUGGGAAAAGAAGAGAAGAGCUCUGUUGGUUUGCAGAGGAAAGGGAUUUUUGAGUGGUGAUUGUCAGUAACAGAACAACAAAGGAAACUGAAAUUCAGUGGAGCUUCUUCAAUAAAGCCCCAAUAUUCUCAAAACUCGAUUGGAAUCUUGCCGACAUAAAUCUCAGCACCGAACUCUAAACCCGUGAGGAAGAUUCGGGUCUUUUGUAGCGACCCGACUCCAUGGGACCUGGCGUAGCCAUCAGCCACGUAGCCGGCGUUGAGUUCAUUGCAGCAGCCUACGAGAUUGAGGCCCGGUUCAGCCAAGAUGUGGUCGAGGAGUGUGAGGUUAACCUCGCCAGGAAUGGAGAAGACGUCAUUGACACCGACCUGGACUAGACGGCGAGCGAGGUGGCGUCCGAGAGUGGAAUCGGCUGAGUUGAAAGGGAUGGGGAGAUUGGUGGAUGGUGACCGCGCCAUUGGUGGGGAGACUGCCGACAUCGUUGUUGAGUGGCUUACACGUGUCCCGUGCUCCGAUCCUAGCAUCCAUGUUUGCAACGGUGAGACGAGGACGGCGACGUCUUAGAUGUCGGUUGUAGAUGUAAGUAAAGAGUAGUGGAAGGAAAAAUGAGAAAGUUCAAGAAAGUUGGGAAGAAAAGAUGGAAGUCCAGUCCGUGGAGCUAUUAUUAUGUUUUUCUUUCCAUUGUUGUUUUGGUGGGUUCGACAAGGAAGGAAAUUUUUUUUGUCUUGAGGACCAGGUCUCUGCCUCUCCGUUGGAAUGGAUGUUGAUCGGUGAAUGAAUGUGGGAGGGGGUGUGUGUGUGUGUGUGUAUAUAUAAACGUGGUUGGUUGGAUGGCCUCACUUCUCAGAUCCCAUAGAGAUAGGAGUUGAAGAAAAGGUGAAAAAUGUUGCUGAGGGAACCGAAGUUGUUGAGCAAAAGGUGCCUGAUCUGGAUUUAAUGAUGGAUGAGGAGUUGUCAUUGGCUGAACUAGCUCAGGAAAUGGAGCUGGAUUUUGCGCUAAAUUCUCUGCUUAUGGGAGAGGAGUUUGGACAGCCUCUUCGAGACUUUUUGUUAGUCAAGAACCCAAGGUUUAGAAUUGGGUACUUCAAGGAUUUUACUUCUUUUGUUAAUAACUCCAACAGUAAAUUACUUGAAAUACUCCUGCUUAGUUGUUCAAUUAGUGACUUGAUUGAAUUUACAUGAUGGCGCUGCCGUAGCGUUCCUCA